rnacentral:rRNA from 1 species
AUGUCGUCAGUGUUUUUUACAAAAAAGUCCCUAUGGUAUAGAGUAUUCAACCCGCAGUCCACUAAUAAGUCAACCGGUAUGGGCGAGAUAAAAGAAAAAAAACUGCCUCCAGAUCUCAUCUCGACCUCCAGGCUCCAGGGUGUCGCCAACUCUGGCGGGGGUGGAGAAGGGGAGGAAGAGGGGUGGCGGGGGUGGAGGCGGAGGAGGAGAUCGCGGGCCCUGUGGGGCGAGAUGGAGGAGUACCUCGCCGCGGCCAGCGCUGCCAGCAAGGCCAUGGCCAUGAUGUGGUGCCUCAAAAACAUGAGAGAACUAGAACUGGCUGGUCUUGCCGGUGGAACUGUCGCUGAUCUUGCCGGAGUCGUCGAGGAGCAGGGUCUCAGAAGGGGAUACACGCAGAUUCGCCCAGGGCGGGCCAGAUCGAGGCGGACUCUACCUCGCGCCAGAAGAAGAUGCCACCCCAACACCACCACGAAUCAUGGAGGAGAGGAGUCAUAG